rnacentral:lncRNA from 1 species
UUCAUAUGUGUGACUGUGUUAUGUAUUCCAGAUACAUGCGGUUUGGUUAAAUAUAUAUAUAUUUCUAUUUUAUGUUAUAAUUUGAUUAUGUUUUCGGAUCGGAUCGUGUCAAUACGCCGUUUUCACAUAUACGUGUAUGAGGCGUGACAUUUGUGUUAUCCGAUCCAGUUGCGAUGAUCGCAAUUUUGCGCUAGCAACGCCGUUGUUUUUUUUAAUUCAUUUUUUUUUUUAUAUACAUAUAUUUAGAUCUGCACAUUUUUUUCAUAACUAACUACCCUGAUUUUUCCUAAACCCUGACAAUUUCGCCACAAACUCUAAAUUUCAAACCUAAAACUUUAACCGUGUUGUUUCCUCUAAACCAUAAACCUUUUCUUAAACCUUAACAAACCUUAUUAUUAUUUCCUAUUUUCGCUCAUAUUUAUGUUAUUCAUACACUGUAACUGCUUCGCCCUUGUAAUAUUUUAAGUUUUAACUUGUAAUAUUUUCAGUUUUACUUUUCGCCAUCUUUAUUAUGUAACUGCACCAAAGCGUUGUAAUAAUUAGGGUUUUAUUUUCUGCCAUUUAUUUUCUGCCAUUUUAUUUUUCUGCCAUUUAUUUUUC